AUAAAAUUAAAGUCGUUUUUUUUAUUGGAAACCAGAAAUAAUAAUUAUGCAGCUAACCUAUUUUAUUAUCUGUUUACAAACUCUUAAGAAACAUUAAAAAGGGCAUUAUACCAAAAAAUUCAUAUUUUACUAUUUGGCUUUCUUAACAUCAUUGGAAACAUCCAUACCAGCGUCUGAACUGGACCGUUUAGGAGGAGAAUUAGUGUCAACAGAGUGAGUUUUGGCGAUUAACUUUUUCUCUUUAACUUGAGCUGCUGGGACUUCAGAAUUGCUUUUAUUGGAAUCAGUGUUUUUAGAAGCUUCCAAACUUAAAAUUGCAGGGCUAUCUUUUUUCUUCGAUUGCUCCAACUCUGCUCGCACUCUAGCUAAGUUCUUUUCCAGCAUGCUCAACUUCAACUUGUUACGCAUCUCGAGUUCUUUUCGGAUGUUAUCUAGUUGUUUUUGAUGCGACUGAGCAACUUGUUCCUCAACAUCCUUCUGUAAAAUUUCUCUGCGCUUUUCCCAUUCCUUUUGCACAAAAGUAGUAAAGUCGGCAGUGGAAGUCGAAAAGUCAGAUAUGGACUCGUUGAAGAUUACUUGAAAUGUAACUGAUAACAUCUCUUCUGUCUUUUUUAAGUUUUCCAAAUCUUUAGUAUCAGCAUGUACCGAAGCGGACUCUGCUUCCUCGGAUGACACAACUGUCUCUUGCAAAGCUUUCACUUGAUCUUGUAAAACCUGAUUUUGUUUCCUGAGUAAUUCGUUUUUCUGUAGCUCUUUUGCAAUUCUCGAACGUAACCUCAAAACUUCCUGUUGCAUGACUUUCUUCCUUUCCAUUUCUUCUUCGUUGGGUAUUUCAGUAUCCUUACUGGUUCCCUCAGAUUUAUUACUAUUUUGUCUGACCUUCUCAAGCUCCUCCUUCGUAGUAUUUAAGAUAUCCAUAAUUUCACUUAGCUUUCGCUGUGUAGAAGAUAGUUCUUCCUUAGUGCUAUUGAAUUCUUCCAGUGACACCGUACUUGGUUCAGACUGUGUAGUAGCAGUGGGGGUUGCAGAAGGUUUGUUGAGUUGUUCAUUGAGCUGAUGACAUUCCGCAACCUUGGCUUCUAAUUCAGAAGUCUUUUGCGAAAGUUGUUGACGUAUUUGAUUGUGCUUUUCUAAGCUCUUGUUAACUACCUGCUCAUAUUUAGUUCGCCAAGCAGCUGCUAGUUUUGUAUUCUUCAACUCUAAUUGUUCAAUCUUGGAUUGGUUUUGCGCUCUCUCAUUUUCCAAAUCUUCGCUUUUUGAUUUAACAGUUUCCAAUUCAGAUUUCAAAUGACCAAUUUCUUGAUUUAACUCCUCUAUUAAGUUUUCUUUGGAAACAAGUUCAUUCUUUAAGCGUGAAGCAUCACUAGACGUAGAUGUGCUACUGUUCAAAGAUAGUAAUAUUUCUUGGUUAUGACGCUUGUAUUCUUCGUUGCUGUUUUCAAGCUUUUUUACAGCUGCUUUCUCUGUUUGAAGCUGUGAUUCUAGUUGUUCUUUAUUAAGUCUAAAAUUCGCCAAAUCAGUUUUAAGAGUUUCUAUUUUCUCUCUUAACUCUGUGAUAACUUCCUCGUUCCUUUCUAAAUUUUCUCGGAGAGAUUUGUUGCUCUCAUUUAAUAAAGCAACCAUGUUUAGAUAAUUUGAACGUUCCCCAACGGAUUCAGAAGUACUGCUAACAUCCUUUUCCGUUAUACCUCUUUGCAGAUCGGCGAUAACUCGAUUCGAUGAUUCAACGGUUCGCUUGAGUUUCUUAUUUUCAAGGAAUAAUAAUUGUCGUUGGCAUGAAAUAAUCUCCAUUUCUUUGGAUAUACGCUUCACAUGAUUCUGUAAAUCUGAUAAUCCUAAUUUCAUAACAGAAUCUAAAUCCGGGGAUGGGCUAGUUAUUUCUGCAAAGUUGAGAUUGGAAGAUUGAAGUUGGGUUAAAAGCAUUGCGUUUUGCUUUUUGAGGACAUAAACUUCCUGUCUCAAAGGAUCUUCUUUUUCACUAAUGGGAAAGGGCUGAGAUUCGUUUAUACCGGCCUUUAAGGCUAUUUCUUUAUUCAAAUCUUCAACCUGUUCUAAUGCCUUCGUGUAAUCCUCGCGCAGUUUUUGAAGAGUCGAUCUAGCAUCGGCAUGUCUUAAAAGUUCCUUUUCAUAAUCUUCACGAGUUUUUCUUAAAUCUUCAGUUACCAACAACAACUGUUGUUUAUAAUCAUUCUCCUUCUCUAAAUGUUGCUUUUCAGCAUUUCGGUGUGACGAAAGCUCAUUGUUAAGAUGCUUAUUUUCCUCUAAAAGCAAGGCAACUCUUGUUUCGCUAUCUUUAGUAAUAUUCUCACAGCGUAAAGAAGAAGAAGCUAUCUCAUCUUGUAGAAUAACUAUCCUUUGUUCAAGAGAAGUGAUUUUUAAAUGAUUUUUUUCCAAGGACUCUGAAGUUUGCAAUCGAUACUCAUCAUACUCAGUUUUAACUCUUUCAACCAUUUCUUCGGCGAGUUUGCUUGCGGCCUGUAACUGUUCAAUAUUCCUUAAAGAAUAAUUGUAUUGGGAUUCUAAGGAAGUAUGUUUAGAUUGCAAGUCACUAAGCGAUGAUUCUAGCAAAGCUUCCCUUUCGCUAUAGGACGUAUUUUUUUGCUGUGUAAACUUGGCUUCCAAAGUAGAAAAUCUUUGUUUUUCAAGUUCAAUGACGCCGUUUAAUUCUUGGAGUUUUAUUUCCAUCAUUUGUUGAUUAUCUAACAAUUUCCUGUUGUCUUCACUUAACGAUUGUUUUUCGAGCAUUAAUGUCUUAAUCCUGCUGGAGUACUCAAUUCCGCUCUUUUCCAAAGAUUUCUGUAGAGAAUGAAGAUCAUUACUCAUCUUUUCAUUUGACUCCUUCAACUUCUGCAAGGAAAGGCUUAAGCUUUCCUUCUCAGAUUCAAAUUUUACUUUUCUAGCAGCAUCAGAUAGCUGUUGCUGGUUAAGAAAAGUUUGAAGAUCUGAUACAAGACUCAUUAGUCUCUCGCGCUCAGCCAAAAGUUUAUCGUUUUCAGAUAUUAAACGCUCUUGCGUCCUUUUCCGUAAAUCUUUUUCACCCUUCGAAGCAUUUAGUUCACCUUUUAAUCUUUCAGCAAGUGAGUUAACAUGUAAUAAUUCUUCGGCAAAUUUACUGGCUCUCUGAUCCUGUCGACUAAUUAUAUCCUGUAAAUUUUGAUUAAUACUACGAAGCUCCUUGGCUUCCUUUUUAAAGGCUUCAACGUCAUUAUUAGCAUUAGUUAAUCUAUCAGUAGAUAACUGCUGCUGAUAUUUGGAAUUUUCUAACUCUUUACGUAUUGCUUCCAUCUCACUCAACAAAUCCUGAUUUCGCUUAGACAAGGAUUCCUGAAUAGCUGUCAUUUCGUUACGAUAAACUUCGUAAUUUUUCUCAAGUUCUCUUGUAGAUUCAUCAAUGGAUUUCAUUUUGUCAUCAAUAUUGCCCGCGGAAGAAUUGUGAGACAAAAUACUGCUUCGAGAAGUAGCUAACAUUUCUUUCAGUAAAUUUCGUUCAUUAAGUAAGGACUCAUUUUUUAUUUUUGACGAAUUUAACUCACUUUCCAAAUUUUUGAUUUGCUCUGAAAGUGUAUUUGAAUUUUCUUUAACUGCAUUGGAAAUUUGAUAUUGGACAGUUUGCUUUUGGAUUUCAACAUCGCAUUCAAGGGCCCGCACUUUUUCCCGCAGUUCUAGAGUUUUCGAAACAGCUUCCUUUAUAGAUGAAAAAUUAGCAAGCUCCUUGUUUACUAGUGUCUCAGAUGCAGUAGAGGGAUUUUGAGCGUAUUCAUCAAGCGCAACUUGCACAGUAGCGGGAACGUUUCUUGAUUUAGUUUCAUUCAAAUGAUCAAGUUCGGCCAUGAGACAAAUAACUUCUCGAGAAAGAUCACUGCAUUGAGUACGAGAUGCGGUGAGCUGCAAGUAACAAGCUUCUUGGCGCAUUUUGGUCGAUAAAAGCUCUGCUUGUACUUUGGUUAGGUUGUUGUUAGAUGUUUCCAAAGAUUCGCUAAGAAAAUUCAUAUAAAUGUUAUUCCUAACGAUUUCACUCCUCUGUUGUUUGACAACUGGAAUCCUUUGUUUAACUUGUUCACAAAAUGAGGAGAAUUUGUUAGUCAAGCGGUCUAGCUGAAGCUUUAAGCUAGAAACCUUCUGUUGGAGUUUCAUAUUGUCCGAAUAUACUUUCGUAAAUGAAAAUUCGGGAUUUUGAACGGCGCUUAACUUUUGCGCCAAAGGAGAAAACAAACCUACACCAGCUGAAACAGAGGUAUUUUUAUUUUCUUUAACCACUUGUAGUUCACUAACUACACUAUCAUAUUUCUCUUGCAGUUCCCGCAAACUAUUCUCCGAAAUCAAUAGCUGUUGCUUGUUAUUAUUUAACUCUUCGGUCACAUUAUUGUAUAGACUUUGUUGCGAAGUGAGCUUUUCUUGAAGUGCAGCAACCUCUGAUUGCAACUCUGAAGAUUUAGACUCCCAAAGAGCUGUAAGUCGUUUCUGAGUUUCCACUUCUUCUUCAAGUUCUUUGAUUGAAGUGGGGUCGGUUUCAAGGAUUUUUGAUAUGUUCCCAUCGGAGGAAUAAUUGCUCCGCUUUUGCUCAAAAAGCUGUAUUUUUUCGUUAAGCUCUGUAUUCUGUUGGGCAAGCCCAGCAAGCUUUUUCUCCAAAUCUUGAACUUGACGAGAUGAAACUUCUAAUUUUUCGCAAACUUUCGAAUGAUCUGAUUGCAAACUAGCCAAAUCAGAGACUAAAGCGCUUUUCUCCUGAACGAGUAUCUCUUCCUUGACACGACUGCUACUGCUAGCAAACAUGUGCUGUUUCUUUCUUUCUUCAAUAUCAGACAAUGCUUGAUGCGCACUCUGGACUUGCUCUCCUAAAUGUGAAUUUUCAUUUUGUAGGGCUUCGAUUUGAUCUUUCGCGAUUGAAAGCUGCUCAGAAGCAAUCUUAGAUUGCUCUUGUAAUUCAGAGUUAGCCCUUCUAAGCGACUGGUUCUCAGUAGUCAAUGCAUCAAAGCGCUUAUUUUGAUUCUCCAAGUUGGUUUUCAGCGAUUCGUUCUCAUUUCUCAAUACCGAUAUAAGAUUACGUGAUUCCUCUGCUUGAUUAUUAGAAGAUUGAAGUUGUUGCUCAAGAAAGUUAAUCUUCUUCGUAAGAACAUUCUCCUUAUGCUCAUGGUUGACUUCUUGAAGGACAAGCUGAUCCUUUAAAGCGUUUAUGUCUUUAACCUUGGUUUUAAUAGCAGAUAUAAAUACAGCGAAACCAUUGACAGACACCAGGGGUUUUAUAUCCUCAAAAGAUACAUCCAAAAACUCGUGUACCAGCUGAAUAUCAUCUUCAAGUCCCCCCGAAGACAUUUUCUAGCCUGGAAUCAACGUUCGAUGACUUAUGAAGCACCAGUGUACGUAUACGAGAAGUAAGUGAUCAACCUCGAUGUACAGAAAUAAUACCACGUUAGAAGAAAUGCGACAA